rnacentral:rRNA from 1 species
CCCUAUGGGGUGCAGCAGGCGAGAAAACUUUGCAAUGUGCGAAAGCACGACAAGGUUAAUCCGAGUGGUUUGUGCUAAACGAACCUUUUGUCGGUCCUAGAAACACCGAUGAAUAAGGGGUGGGCAAGUUCUGGUGUCAGCCGCCGCGGUAAAACCAGCACCUCAAGUGGUCAGGAUGAUUAUUGGGCCUAAAGCAUCCGUAGCCGGCUCUGUAAGUUUUCGGUUAAAUCUGUACGCUCAACGUACAGGCUGCCGGGAAUACUGCAGAGCUAGGGAGUGGGAGAGGUAGACGGUACUCGGUAGGAAGGGGUAAAAUCCUUUGAUCUAUUGAUGACCACCUGUGGCGAAGGCGGUCUACCAGAACACGUCCGACGGUGAGGGAUGAAAGCUGGGGGAGCAAACCGGAUUAGAUACCCGGGUAGUCCCAGCUGUAAACUAUGCAAACUCAGUGAUGCAUUGGCUUGUGGCCAAUGCAGUGCUGCAGGGAAGCCGUUAAGUUUGCCGCCUGGGAAGUACGUACGCAAGUAUGAAACUUAAAGGAAUUGGCGGGGGAGCACCACAAGGGGUGAAGCCUGCGGUUCAAUUGGAGUCAACGCCAGAAAUCUUACCCGGAGAGACAGCAGAAUGAAGGUCAAGCUGAAGACUUUACCAGACAAGCUGAGAAGUAGUGCAUGGCC